CCUACGGGUGGCAGCAGUGAGGAAUAUUGGUCAAUGGACGAGAGUCUGAACCAGCCAAGUAGCGUGAAGGAUGACUGCCCUAUGGGUUGUAAACUUCUUUUAUCUGGGAAUAAAACGUUCCACGUGUGGGAUUUUGUAUGUACCUUAUGAAUAAGGAUCGGCUAACUCCGUGCCAGCAGCCGCGGUAAUACGGGGGAUGCAAGCGUUAUCCGGAUUUAUUGGGUUUAAAGGGUGCGUAGGCGGGGAGGUAAGUCAGCGGUGAAAUGCCUCGGCGCAACGCGGUGACGUGACGUUGAUACUGCCGUGCUUGAAUGCGCAUGCCGUGUGAGGAAUGUGUGGUGUAGCGGUGAAAUGCGUAGAUAUCACACAGAACACCGAUUGCGAAGGCAUCUCACGAAUCCGUGAUUGACGCUGAUGCACGAAAGCGUGGGGAUCAAACAGGAUUAGAUACCCUAGUAGUC
rnacentral:rRNA from 1 species